AGGCUGCAACCCGCCUGCAUGAAGUCGGAAUUGCUAGUAAUCGCGGAUCAGCACGCCGCGGUGAAUACGUUCCCGGGCCUUGUACACACCGCCCGUCACACCAUGGGAGCCGGUAAUACCCGAAGUCAGUAGUCCAACCUCGUGAGGACGCUGCCGAAGGUAGGAUUGGCGACUGGGGUGAAGUCGUAACAAGGUAGC
rnacentral:rRNA from 1 species